rnacentral:lncRNA from 1 species
GCGAAAAAGAUGCCAGAUGCUGAGCAGAUGUUGGCCCCAGGCUCUUGGACUUCCCAUUCUCCACAGUAGUGAGCAAAUGAACCUCUAUUCUUCAUAAAUUUCCUGGUCUCAGGUAUUUUGUUAUAGCAACAGAAAGUGGACUAAGACACCAGUCUAAGGUAUUCUGUUAUAGCAUCAGGAAGAGGCUAGGAUGAUACACUACAUAAAAUGCAAGCAGGAGAUACUAAUCCUGAUUGCACCUACUUGUAUGGACUAGACCUGCUAUAUGAACCAUAGCCAUGAACUCUAAUCAGGGGGUCCCUCAGAAAGCCAAGUGUUUAGAUGAUAAUUAAUGCACAUAUCCUAAAGAUCCACAUGUAGUCACAGGUACAGUUUUCUUCACGUGGUAACAAUUCUGUGGUCCCUUUUCUUUACAGGUUUGUGAAACUUAGAUGAUCUUCCUUCCCCUUUAUGUGUUACCACAGUUCUGCUCAUUUUCCCCUGGGUCUCCUAGAAAGAGAUGAAGAAUCAUCCCUCUUUUUCCUUCAGUGGAAGAGUAUACAGAGGGUUGGCCCUCUGUUUUUGUCGUUGGAAGACCCUGGUAAGCACCAGUUAAUUCACAGCCUUUAA